rnacentral:rRNA from 1 species
UGGGGAAUAUUGGACAAUGGGCGAAAGCCUGAUCCAGCCAUGCCGCGUGUGUGAAGAAGGCUUUCGGGUUGUAAAGCACUUUCAGCGAGGAAGAAAGCCUGGUGGUUAAUACCCAUCAGGAAGGACAUCACUCGCAGAAGAAGCACCGGCUAACUCCGUGCCAGCAGCCGCGGUAAUACGGAGGGUGCGAGCGUUAAUCGGAAUUACUGGGCGUAAAGCGCGCGUAGGUGGCUUGGCACGCCGGUUGUGAAAGCCCCGGGCUCAACCUGGGAACGGCAUCCGGAACGGCCAGGCUAGAGUGCAGGAGAGGAAGGUAGAAUUCCCGGUGUAGCGGUGAAAUGCGUAGAGAUCGGGAGGAAUACCAGUGGCGAAGGCGGCCUUCUGGCCUGACACUGACACUGAGGUGCGAAAGCGUGGGUAGCAAACAGG